rnacentral:piRNA from 1 species
UACAAGGUAGACCUUUCUGCAUUCAAGGA